rnacentral:rRNA from 1 species
AUUGAACGCUGGCGGCAUGCUUUACACAUGCAAGUCGAACGGUAACAGGUUAAGCUGACGUGUGGCGAACGGGUGAGUAAUGCAUCGGAACGUGCCCGAUCGUGGGGGAUAACGCAGCGAAAGCUGCGCUAAUACCGCAUACGAUCUGAGGAUGAAAGCGGGGGACCGUAAGGCCUCGCGCGAUCGGAGCGGCCGAUGUCAGAUUAGGUAGUUGGUGGGGUAAAGGCUCACCAAGCCGACGAUCUGUAGCUGGUCUGAGAGGACGACCAGCCACACUGGGACUGAGACACGGCCCAGACUCCUACGGGAGGCAGCAGUGGGGAAUUUUGGACAAUGGGCGCAAGCCUGAUCCAGCAAUGCCGCGUGCAGGAAGAAGGCCUUCGGGUUGUAAACUGCUUUUGUACGGAGCGAAAAGGCUCUCUCUAAUACAGGGGGCUCAUGACGGUACCGUAAGAAUAAGCACCGGCUAACUCUGUGCCAGCCGCCGCCGUAA